rnacentral:misc_RNA from 1 species
AAGUCGUAACAAGGUUUCCGUAGGUGAACCUGCGGAAGGAUCAUUAAAGAUUCGGGCUUCGGCCCACCUCAUCAGCUGUGCGCUUAGGCUGCACGCUGCAUGAACAACCCACACCUGUGCACAUCUUCGGUGGCGGCGUUCGCGUCGCUUCCGCUUUAUAUUCAACAACUAUAGUCCAGAAUGUAUAAACCAUAAACAAUACAACUUUCAACAACGGAUCUCUUGGCUCUC